GACCAAGGAGUCUAGCAUGUGCGCGAGUCAUUAGGACUCGACUAAACCUAAAGGCGCAAUGAAAGUGAAGGUCCACCUCGCGCGGACCGAGGGAGGAUGGGCCGGUCCUCGGAUUGGCCCCGCACUCCCGGGGCGUCUCGUUCUCAUCGCGAGAAGAGGCGCACCCAGAGCGUACACGCUGGGACCCGAAAGAUGGUGAACUAUGCCUGGUCAGGACGAAGUCASGGGAAACCCUGAUGGAGGUCCGUAGCGAUUCUGACGUGCAAAUCGAUUGUCGGAACUGGGUAUAAGGGCGAAAGACUAAUCGAACCAUCUAGUACGUGG
rnacentral:rRNA from 1 species